UCUCUCUGCAGAUUUUCUGUUCAAGCCUGAAACCUCUGACAGCCGAUGCUGGUCUGAUGACAUGAAGCUGUGACGGAUCUCUGUCCUGCGACGCCGGCAUCAUGGAUCACUUUACAGACGGCUGGUGAGUCGUGUUAACGUGAAAACAUACCGACCGACCUCAAGUCUCCACUGGUUCCUCGGACGCUCGCUGAUUUAACUAUCACAGCUGGUGACGCCGUUCUGGUGGCCGAUGACCACAGCCAAAUUUUUACCGAUCGACUCCUCUGCACUUCCAUUUUGAAAUCCAGGAGGAAAUUACGUGUUUUCCAGCAUCAUCAGCCUUUGCUUACAGAGAGUAGGAACUGAAGUUCGUUCGAAGGAUUUUAUUAUUAUUUUUUCCGUCUGAGGUGGUUUUGGAGCAGCAGCAGAUGACGAUGAUGGAGAGGCAGCGGAGAGGUGAUGAAGAGC